AGGCUUUUUCACAGUUUUUCUCCAAUUAGUGAAAUACUGAAAAAUAAUAUAAGAGCAAAUAAAAAAAAGUUACAAUGUUACAAACAACUUUAGUAUUAAUAAUUUGUUAUUACUAUUAUUUUUAGGGUUAGGGUUAAAAUGACAAGAUUUGUGCAAUAUGAAGGCUAAACAGUCUCAUGUAAUGUCUGUUUCAUUUACACAGGACACCCUCGCUCAGAAAGUCCACAAGUGAGACUCACAGGAGUAGUAAAGCUUAUGACGUUUCAGGAAAUCCCUUUUAUGAACAAAGGCAUCCAAAUAUCGCUUUAGCCCAGAUAGAGAUGUUUCUGUCAUUCAUAUGAAGCCACAUCGGAUCAGAGAAACACUUGACUGAUGUUAUAUAGUGAGUUUGAUGUGUUUUGAUAUGUUAUUAAUCUCAUCAAUUGUCAUGUUUUGACGCUAUGCUAAACUGACAUUCAUCUUUGUCAUUAUAAUCUGAAUGAAGGUGGAGCUCUAGAAAACCUUCAAGUCACAGUUCAGUUGUUUAAAACAGGGCAGACAUAUCUUGAGUCACUUAUACUCUAGUAGAGAACUGUAAGUCUCGACUCUCAAGGUCAUUGACUCUUCCUAGUGCAGAUGUUGCUCCUGGUAUUCAUGAUAUGUUCUCUUCUAAAAGAGAAUGCUGCUGCAGACGUGAUAACACCAUUAUUCACAGACAAGCAUGUUUUGGAAGGAAAAGAUGUUACACUCAAAUGCAAUUACACUGGCAAUGUUAGAAAUUUGCAGUGGUACCGUCAGUAUCCCGGAUCCAAACCUGAACACCUAAUAUUGUUCAUUGAGACCGAACCCAAAUCAAAGUCCUCUCUCCGUCUGACCGCUGCAGCUGAUAAAGCCAACAAACAAAUGAAUCUGACGAUCUCUUCUACAGAAGUGAAAGACUCAGCCAUGUACUACUGUGCCCUGGUGCCCACAGUGACAGGAAACACUACUGCACCCUACAAAAACUCAGUGAGAAAUUAUAUUUAAAGCAGAAGAUCAUGAUGCACAAUGCAGAUUUAAAAACUUCAAAACUUUUUUUGUACAAUGUACAGUGACACUGUACAAACAUCAAAUGUUUCAAGCAUUAAUGUGCUGUUCAAAUCUAUAUUAUGAGGUAGUCUAAUAUUAUUAUUAAUAGAGAAUCAGGGCACACUAUAAGUUGUAAAUGCUUUUAA